UACGUAUGGGGCAAGCGUUGUCCGGAAUUAUUGGGCGUAAAGGGUACGUAGGCGGAUAAGCAAGUUAGAAGUGAAAUCCUAUAGCUCAACUAUAGUAAGCUUUUAAAACUGCUCAUCUUGAGGUAUGGAGGGGAAAGUGGAAUUCCUAGUGUAGCGGUGAAAUGCGCAGAUAUUAGGAGGAAUACCAGUGGCGAAGGCGACGUGCUGGAAUCUAACUGACGCUGAGGUACGAAAGCGUGGGGAGCAAACAUG
rnacentral:rRNA from 1 species